rnacentral:rRNA from 1 species
UGACAACCUGGUUGAUCCUGCCAGUAGUCAUAUGCUUGUCUCAAAGAUUAAGCCAUGCAUGUCUAAGUACAAACUAUAUUAAAGUGAAACCGCGAAAGGCUCAUUAAAUCAGUUAUGGUUCCUUAGAUCGUACCACAAUUACUUGGAUAACUGUGGUAAUUCUAGAGCUAAUACAUGCAAACAGAGCUCUGACCGGAGACGGAAGGAGUGCUUUUAUUAGAUCAAAACCAAUCGGCGUCAAUAGCAUUUCGGUGUUGUUGUUCGUCGCUCAAUUAAUGGUGAAUCUGAAUAACUUUAUGCUGAUCGCAUGGUCUUGUACCGGCGACGCAUCUUUCAAAUGUCUGCCUUAUCAACUGUCGAUGGUAGGAUCUGCGCCUACCAUGGUUGUAACGGGUAACGGGGAAUCAGGGUUCGAUUCCGGAGAGGGAGCCUGAGAAACGGCUACCACAUCCAAGGAAGGCAGCAGGCGCGCAAAUUACCCACUCCCGGCACGGGGAGGUAGUGACGAAAAAUAACGAUACGGGACUCAUCCGAGGCCCCGUAAUCGGAAUGAGUACACUUUAAAUCCUUUAACAAGGACCAAUUGGAGGGCAAGUCUGGUGCCAGCAGCCGCGGUAAUUCCAGCUCCAAUAGCGUAUAUUAAAGUUGUUGCGGUUAAAAAGCUCGUAGUUGAAUUUGUGUUCCGCACUGUCGGUUCACCGCCCGCGGUGCUAACUGGCAUGUUUGCGGAACGUCCUGCCGGUGGAUGUUUAAAGUAAUUGAUUUCGGUCAUUUACUACAUCCGACUUAUAAAUCCUGUCGCGGUGCUCUUAACUGAGUGUCGAGGCGGGCCGGCACGUUUACUUUGAACAAAUUAGAGUGCUCAAAGCAGGCUAACUAAUGCCUGAAUAAUUAGUGCAUGGAAUAAUGGAACAGGACCUUGGUUCUAUUUUGUUGGUUUUCGGAACCCCAAGGUAAUGAUUAAUAGGGACAGAUGGGGGCAUUCGUAUUGCGACGUUAGAGGUGAAAUUCUUGGAUCGUCGCAAGACGGACUAAAGCGAAAGCAUUUGCCAAAGAUGUUUUCAUUAAUCAAGAACGAAAGUCAGAGGUUCGAAGGCGAUCAGAUACCGCCCUAGUUCUGACCAUAAACGAUGCCAGCUAGCGAUCCGCCAAAGUUCCUCCGAUGACUUGGCGGGCAGCUUUCGGGAAACCAAAGUUUUUGGGUUCCGGGGGAAGUAUGGUUGCAAAGCUGAAACUUAAAGGAAUUGACGGAAGGGCACCACCAGGAGUGGAGCCUGCGGCUUAAUUUGACUCAACACGGGGAAACUCACCAGGCCCAGACACUGGAAGGAUUGACAGAUUGAGAGCUCUUUCUUGAUUCAGUGGGUGGUGGUGCAUGGCCGUUCUUAGUUGGUGAAUUGGUUUGUCUGCUUAAUUGCGAUAACGAACGAGACUCUAGCCUACUAAAUAGACGUUACACACUUUCCAGUAUCUCGAAGGCUCACAUCUUUCGUAUCUUAACUGCACAUCGCCUUGCAUUUCGGUGUUUGGUUGUUGUGUGGUGGUCGGAAGUUUGUGGUUUUUACUACUGGCGUACAUAUAAAUCUUCUUAGAGGGACAGGCGGCUUCUAGCCGCACGAGAUUGAGCAAUAACAGGUCUGUGAUGCCCUUAGAUGUUCUGGGCCGCACGCGCGCUACACUGAAGGAAUCAGCGUGUCUUCCCUGGCCGAAAGGUCCGGGUAACCCGCUGAACCUCCUUCGUGCUAGGGAUUGGGGCUUGCAAUUAUUCCCCAUGAACGAGGAAUUCCCAGUAAGCGUGAAUCAUAAGUUCACGUUGAUUACGUCCCUGCCCUUUGUACACACCGCCCGUCGCUACUACCGAUUGAAUGAUUUAGUGAGGUCUUCGGACUGGUACGCGGUAUGUUUCGACAUUACCGAUGUCGCUGGGAAGAUGACCAAACUUGAUUAUUUAGAGGAAGUAAAAGUCGUAACAAGGUUUCCG